AGCGGAGGAAAAGAAACCAACAGGGAUUGCCCCAGUAACGGCGAGUGAAGCGGCAACAGCUCAAAUUUGAAAUCUGGCUUCGGCCCGAGUUGUAAUUUGCAGAGGAAGCUUUUGGCGCGGCACCAUCUGAGUCCCCUGGAACGGGGCGCCACAGAGGGUGAGAGCCCCGUAUAGAUGGACGCCUAGCCUGUGUAAAGCUCCUUCGACGAGUCGAGUAGUUUGGGAAUGCUGCUCAAAAUGGGAGGUAAAUUUCUUCUAAAGCUAAAUACCGGCCAGAGACCGAUAGCGCACAAGUAGAGUGAUCGAAAGAUGAAAAGCACUUUGAAAAGAGGGUUAAAUAGCACGUGAAAUUGUUGAAAGGGAAGCGCUUGUGACCAGACUUGCGCCGGGCGGAUCAUCCGGUGUUCUCACCGGUGCACUCCGCCCGGCUCAGGCCAGCAUCGGUUCUCGUGGGGGGAUAAAGGCACCGGGAACGUAGCUCCUCCGGGAGUGUUAUAGCCCGGGGCGUAAUGCCCUCGCGGGGACCGAGGACCGCGCAUCUGCAAGGAUGCUGGCGUAAUGGUCAUCAGCGACCCGUCUUGAAACACGGACCAAGGAGUCAAGGUUUUGCGCGAGUGUUUGGGUGUAAAACCCGCACGCGUAAUGAAAGUGAACGUAGGUGAGAGCUUCGGCGCAUCAUCGACCGAUCCUGAUGUUUUCGGAUGGAUUUGAGUAGGAGCGUUAAGCCUUGGACCCGAAAGAUGGUGAACUAUGCUUGGAUAGGGUGAAGCCAGAGGAAACUCUGGUGGAGGCUCGCAGCGGUUCUGACGUGCAAAUCGAUCGUCAAAUCUGAGCAUGGGGGCGAAAGACUAAUCGAACCAUCUAG
rnacentral:rRNA from 1 species